GCCGCUGAAAUGCGGACGGGUCCACCGAAGUUUUGAUGGUGGAAAAAGGGAAGGCUGUGAAAAUCAGCCACGGUCCCGCCGCUGUGACCCCGCCCUUCUUAACGAGGUGAGUUAAGAAGGAUCUUUCUUGGAGGGUUUAAGUCACUGGUUGCGAAAGGCAGCUGGGAAGACAUUCCAAGAAGGGCGGGGAGUCAGAAGACCUGCCUACUUUUAUAAACAAUA
rnacentral:ncRNA from 2 species